GGGAUAUUCUUUCAGGAAGAACCCUCCUUGACAUUGUACUUUUGAAAAAUUUUUGUGCAGGCACCAAAUGUCUUCUCAGAAGGUAUAAGACUGUAAUAGUUUAAUAAUGCGAGCAUAGUUUAUAAAUAUUCAAUAUAAUUAUUUUUAAAUAAUUAACCAAAAUGAAAACUAAUAACAAAGAUAUGUAAUACAAUGAUAAGUAAUGUUAUACAUUAUACUUACUUUCCGCUUGCAUGCACAUAACAGUAGGUCCUAGUAGCAUGUGAUGAGGAUGAGGAUGCAGAUCGACUAGCACUCGAUCCAGAAACAGAACUUGAAGAAGUUGGGGCAGUGGGGGCAACUGGAGCAAGUGGAGGGGCUGCAGGGGCUGAGUAUGAUACAGGGGUUGUUGGAGUAAGUGCUGGGGCUCUAAAGUCAGCUAAAGAAGGUGCAGUGGCUAUAAUG
rnacentral:lncRNA from 1 species